rnacentral:lncRNA from 1 species
AUUUUCCAUUUCAUUUGUCUAAAGCUCAAUCUUCAUUUCUUUUGAACCAAAAUGGCUCCAAACACCUCUAAAAAAUUCGAAAGGAUACUUCAACACCUAAUAGGAACAUGUGCAUGAAAAUGCAACCUAAUGAUGCCUAAAUGCUAAUCGAAAUGAUCAAUAUGCAUACUAAAUGGAUGGUUAAUUCAAUGCAAAACACAAGAUAUCAACUGCCACAAACUUGUCAUUUACUUGUCCACAAGUAAACUUUCAAGAACUAAUAGGAUGAGCGGUUUGAAGAUGGGAGCUCAUAACCAAAAGAACACUUUCUAGCCUUCAAAUUGACAUCCUAAGGAAAACAUAGUAAAUAGCAUGACCAACUCUCUUAAUACACUCUAGUUUCUCAAGGCAUAUCUCAACUCUUAUCCCCCU